CGCAUCUGUGCAUGCAGCAUAUCAAUAGCGGAGGAAAAGAAACUAACAAGGAUUCCCUCAGUAACGGCGAGUGAAGCGGGAAGAGCUCAAAUUUGAAAUCUUGAAAGGUCACCUUUCACGAAUUGUAGUUUAAAGAAGUGUUUUCUGUUACGAUCGUAAUAUAAGUUCUUUGGAAUAGGACAUCACAGAGGGUGAGAAUCCCGUCUAUGAUUGCGAUUUGUAGCUUUGUGAUACACUUUCAAAGAGUCGGGUUGUUUGGGAAUGCAGCCCAAAACGGGAGGUAAAUUUCUUCUAAGGCUAAAUAUUGGCGAGAGACCGAUAGCGAACAAGUACCGUGAGGGGAAAGAUGAAAAGAACUUUGAAAAGAGAGUUAGAUAGUACGUGAAAUUGUCAAAAGGGAAGCGUUUAACACCAGUGUUGUUUUCUGAAAAUCAACCUCUGUUAGCUUUAUGCAUGUUUGUUUAGACCUAAUCAGCUAUCCUUGCAUGUUCUAUUGUUUGCAGUGGUGCACUUUUCAGUUUACAGGUCAACAUCAGUUUUUUUUACCGUAAAAAAGUUAAAGAAAGGUAGCUCAUGGCUCCGGUCGUGAGUGUUAUAGUCUUUUUCCUAUGCGGUAGGAGAGACUGAGGUCUGCAGUGUAGGCUAUUUGGCUAGAUACUCAGGUGCUAUGUGAUACCAUUUCAUAAACAACUUGUUGAUUAUGUUUUGUCUAUUGCAUACUCGCUUGUACUAUCAUACCUACGCUUAGGAUGUUGACGAUCAGCUGAGCGCG
rnacentral:rRNA from 1 species